rnacentral:misc_RNA from 1 species
GAUGAAGAACGUAGCGAAAUGCGAUAAGUAAUGUGAAUUGCAGAAUUCAGUGAAUCAUCGAAUCUUUGAACGCACCUUGCACCCUUUGGCAUUCCGAAGGGUAUGCUCGUUUGAGUGUCAUUGUACUCUCACACUCCCACUCUUUUGGAUUGGGAGCGGUGGACUUGGGUGUUGCUGCUUCACUGUGGCUCGCCUCAAAUGGAGUAGUGCAACUCUCGGUUGGACAUAGUACGGCGUGAUAAGUGUCUUCGCCGGCGCCUCACUAGAGGGUGGCCGAUCGGGAGCUCUGUGCUUCAAACCGUCUUCGGACAAUCUCUGACAACUUGACCUCAAAUCGAGUAGGACUACCCGCUGAACUUAAGCAUAUCAAUACGCGGAGGA